GCGGACAUGGUGAAAUUGGUAGACACACUAGGUUUAGGCCCUAGAGGUUUAAAGCCUUGCGGGUUCAAGUCCUGCUGUCCGUA